rnacentral:rRNA from 1 species
AGUGGGGAAUUUUGGACAAUGGGCGCAAGCCUGAUCCAGCAAUGCCGCGUGCAGGAUGAAGGCCUUCGGGUUGUAAACUGCUUUUGUACGGAGCGAAAAGGCUCCCUCUAAUACAGGGGGCUCAUGACGGUACCGUAAGAAUAAGCACCGGCUAACUACGUGCCAGCAGCCGCGGUAAUACGUAGGGUGCAAGCGCUAAUCGGAAUUACUGGGCGUAAAGCGUGCGCAGGCGGUUAUGUAAGACAGAUGUGAAAUCCCCGGGCUCAACCUGGGAACUGCAUUUGUGACUGCAUAGCUAGAGUACGGCAGAGGGGGAUGGAAUUCCGCGUGUAGCAGUGAAAUGCGUAGAUAUGCGGAGGAACACCGAUGGCGAAGGCAAUCCCCUGGGCCUGUACUGACGCUCAUGCACGAAAGCGUGGGGAGCAAACAGGAUUAGAUACCCUGGUAGUCCACGCCCUAAACGAUGUCAACUGGUUGUUGGGUCUUCACUGACUCAGUAACGAAGCUAACGCGUGAAGUUGACCGCCUGNNNAGUGCGGCCGCAAGGUUG